AUUGAACGCUGGCGGCAGGCUUAACACAUGCAAGUCGAGCGGGGGAAGGUAGCUUGCUACCGGACCUAGCGGCGGACGGGUGAGUAAUGCUUAGGAAUCUGCCUAUUAGUGGGGGACAACAUCUCGAAAGGGAUGCUAAUACCGCAUACGUCCUACGGGAGAAAGCAGGGGAUCUUCGGACCUUGCGCUAAUAGAUGAGCCUAAGUCGGAUUAGCUAGUUGGUGGGGUAAAGGCCUACCAAGGCGACGAUCUGUAGCGGGUCUGAGAGGAUGAUCCGCCACACUGGGACUGGGACACGGCCCAGACUCCUACGGGAGGCAGCAGUGGGGAAUAUUGGACGAUGGGGGGAACCCUGAUCCAGCCAUGCCGCGUGUGUGAAGAAGGCCUUAUGGUUGUAAAGCACUUUAAGCGAGGAGGAGGCUACUUUAAUUAAUACCUAGAGAUAGUGGACGUUACUCGCAGAAUAAGCACCGGCUAACUCUGUGCCAGCCGCCGCCGUAA
rnacentral:rRNA from 1 species